UGUAUAUGGGAAUGCAAUUGUCGUUCAAUGUGAUAAAGUCAGCGGAUGUGCAGAGGAAGUUAGCACAUUUUCUAAGAAAAUCUACCUGCCAUCCAUUGGUGUUCUUUCUCUUGUGGUUUGUUUGCUUAUCGCAUACAUUAUAAGGUUGAAAUGUCAAAUCAAACAUUUUCAAACUGCUGGCGGAAGUGACGCACCUGUUGUGGUACAGUUUGAUUACGAUUCUUUACAACGACUUAAGGAUGAACAGUCUAUUGCUUCACAAAAUCUUGACAAGCAUGAUAAUGAUACUGAACUCAAUUUAUACAUGGAAAUUUCAGAUCCAGCUAUUAAUAACUAAUAAAAAAAAUUCUAAGAAAUAAGCUUAUUUAUUUACUUACAGGGCUGUGUUAUCAUCGUAAUUUUUUUUUAUAUAUUUUCUGGACUAUUCAUAUUAGAAAGAAUAGUUGACCUUACUAGCUUUCAUAAUGGUAUUACUACUACAGACAUAUUUA